rnacentral:rRNA from 1 species
GGAGGAAAAGAAACCAACAGGGAUUACCUCAGUAACGGCGAGUGAAGCGGUAACAGCUCAAAUUUGAAAUCUGGCCCUUUCAGGGUCCGAGUUGUAAUUUGUAGAAGAUGCUUCGGGUGUGGCUCCGGUCUAAGUUCCUUGGAACAGGACGUCAUAGAGGGUGAGAAUCCCGUAUGUGACUGGCUGCCUUCGCCCAUGUGAAGCUCUUUCGACGAGUCGAGUUGUUUGGGAAUGCAGCUCUAAAUGGGUGGUAUAUUUCAUCUAAAGCUAAAUAUUGGCCAGAGACCGAUAGCGCACAAGUAGAGUGAUCGAAAGAUGAAAAGCACUUUGGAAAGAGAGUUAAACAGUACGUGAAAUUGUUGAAAGGGAAGCGCUUGCAACCAGACUUGCACGCCGUCGAUCAUCCUGGGUUCUCCCUGGUGCACUCGGCGGCGUUCAGGCCAGCAUCGGUUUCGGUGGUUGGAUAAAGGCCUUGGGAAUGUGGCUCCUCUCGGGGAGUGUUAUAGCCCUCGGUGCAAUGCAGCCUACCGGGACCGAGGACCGCGCUUCGGCUAGGAUGCUGGCGUAAUGGUUGUAAGCGACCCGUCUU